GCCAGCGUGGUUCAGUGGUUAAGAGCAGGUGCACUCCAAUCUGGAGAACCGGGUUUGAUUCCCCGCUCUGGCA
rnacentral:tRNA from 1 species